rnacentral:lncRNA from 1 species
AAAAAAAAAAAAGAAAAACCUGAUCAAUUAAUUCUGCACUAAUUCCCUCAAGACUCUAUUCCCUUGGGGGAAUAUGAAUACAGUUUUACUUAUUUGAAAUUGGUUGUGCUAAUAUUCCUGAAAAUUGUCCCAUUUCUUGGAUCCAUUUAAAAAUUUUCUGUUGGCAUAGCAACAGAUUAAAAGCUCUACCACAGUUUUUACCACUUACUCCAUUCUUAAGAAAACAAAGCAUAUAUUUAUUUUACAUUUAAUUACAUCCUUUCUGUCCUCUUCUAUCAGCCUAUGAAUGUGAGACUAACUUCCGUUCUCAUUCCCCUAAGAUAUUCAACCCUAUAGUGGAUGUUUAUAAUUCAAAACUACUGUGCUAAAAUAGCUCUAAAAAAAAAAAAAAGUGUUUCACUGAGGUAGUUACUAGGUCAUGUUUCUAUUGUGAAAUAUUUAUAUGUAAAUCACCAAACACUUUUAGUAUCUGACCUGGAAAAAACAUCUCAUCGAUUUUAUUUAUAAUACUGGAUUUAAAAGCUUCUAUCAAAAUGGUAUCCAAGCAUUUUUUCCCCUUCUCUGGUAAAUGAUGUUUAUAAAUUCCUGGGGCAUAAGUUAAUGUUUUGGGAAGGUACCCAGAGUGUAAUUCUUAAAUAAGUAAAUUUGCUUUAAUAAAUCAGAAUUUGAAAAUAUAUGAACUCAGAAAGCACACCUUUCAGAUCUCACCAACACUGUCAGGGAAAUAACUAAUCCUUGCCCAUGAAGCCCACAGGAACUGUUCACAGCAGGAUCCUCAGCCCUGGCUGCACAUUAGAAACAUCUGUUGAACUCUUAAAAUUGACCAGAUCUCUGCCCACCCCUCGCCCCCUAGUUGUUUUAAUUAUUCUAGAGGGAAUUUCAAACAUGGAGAUGUUUUAAUUUCUUCCUAAUACUCACAUGUAGAGAACUGAUAGUUUAGCACCAGAGAAUCCACAUAAACAUGCACAGAUCCCUCCUUACUCUGUGAGCCACUGUCCAUAGGAUGGAGGGAGACAAACUAAAAUCUGAGGAGAGGUCAUUGGAGAUUGAAAAGUCAUGAAACUAAGAGGUCAGAAUAUUGAGUCUUUUAUACAUUAUAUCAACAUCAUUUCAAAAACAGGAUACCUGGAAUUAAACAGUAUCUAGACUUGAUUUUUAGUAUACAGAAUAAGGGCAUUAAUACUUGGUUAGUAUUUCUCUUCUUAAAGCCUGUGACUGUAUUCAUCUUUCCACACCUAUAUCAUUAUGGUCAACUUUCCAAAAAUUAAUAAAAAUAAAAUAAAACCAAAUAAAAUUAAUUUUGCAGAACCAGGUUCCUUUGCCCCAAUGCUCAGCAAGCCAAAUGCUGAGCUGUGAGGUUUGCUGCAGAGUGUUUAUUCAGAAGGCAGCCAAGUGAGGAGACGGGACAGGUUUCAAAUCCAUAUCCCUAAAGGCAAAGGGCUGGGCUUUAUUUAUGGGAUAAAGAAUAAAGUAGCAGGUUGGUCUGUAGUGUGAAGGGUAUGGGGAAAGGUGAUUGGAGAUAAGAAAAAAGCAGGGUUAAUUGUCAUUCCAUGCAGACAUAAUUGAGCUACAGUUACCUUCACCGGACUUGCCUUCAGGAAAUGGUCCCAUGGCAGGAUCUGAGGGUGGAGUUUGGGGCCUUCAGAUGUCAAAAGGUCAGUGAGGGGACACUCAUGCAUUCCCAGUGUGAGAGUUGGUGGUCCUAUCCAGUCUUAACUGGACUGAACUGGAACUAGACACAGCUGACUCCCACUUCCUGGAAAACAACUCUGGCAAAUUUCUUAUUUAGGCUACAUGCUCCUUGGAGAGGCUACGUGUCCUUCGGAGCAACAAUUAAGAUGAUCUUGAUUAGCGAAGGCCAGGUAACAAGUAUGGAUGUAAAUGAUGACUACCCAUGGUUUUAUUAACAGGAAUUAAACCUGGCCUCUCUCAUUUUGAAUUUGUAGAACUAAAUUUUUAAAAAUGAUGUACGAUCUUUCUCAUUUGUUUUUGCAUAAUCCGAUCAUUCUUACUCUGUCAUGCAAGCUCUAUCAUUCAAAAUACUCAUUUCCUCUACCUGUCUAAGGUGAUAUGUAAGGUCUCCAAAAUAGGAAGAUGGCUUUCCAGAAACCCAAAGGUUUGGAUUGUUUUUCUGGAUGUUAUAUCCAAAUACAUAUGGAUAACUUGCUUAAUUCUUAACACAUAUUUUAUUUAGAAAAAAAAGAGUUGUUAUUUUGGGUCAGGCUGAUUUCAUGUAGCCAGGAAAUGACAUCAUGGACUGUCACUCAGAAAAGAUACUGCAACACAUUUGUUAAACCUUCCAAAUUUCGUUAGUUUAUAUAGCAUGAACACAUUUAUGGCCUGACCUAAGGUUUGGAGCUUCUCAAAUGUUCUCAAAACUUGAGUAUUUGUUGACUUAAAAGUUUUAAAUUGCACAAUUGUUACCUUGUUGCCUCAAAUUGAAGAGGAAAGGGCACUACAUUUUUCUUCUGCCUACUUACACUACAGAAUUGGUUUCCACCACCAAUGCUCCCAUGCCCUUCUCCUCCCAUUGUUUUGUAAUGCCCCAUAUGAACUUGCCAUUUAUGAGGAAAUACCAGUUUUAAACCUGACAUCUGUCGAGCACACCUUAUUAAGUACUGCAGAAUUUAGUUCUGAUCACUCUGAAAAUAGCAAUAGCAGCAUCAUAAUUACUCCUGAAAAUAAAACUAGUGAGGUUUAAGAUUUUUUUUUGUUGUUUUUCUUUAUGUCCUUAGAAUAUAUUUCACAAAGAAUAUACAGAGUCUUUAUUCAAAAGACCAUUAAAACAAGACUUUCCUCUAGAUGAGUAUACUACCAAUUUACUGCAUAAAUAGGUUAAUUUGUUUGAUUUUUUUUAGCUUUUUUCUCUUGGAAUUUUUUUUUCCAUCAGUAAAAUAUUUAAAAUCAAAAUUUUAUUUGAAGACACACUCACAGACAUCUCACUUACAUCUCUAUUCUCUUUGUUCUUUUUUCCCCUUCAAUUCAUAGACGUUUCUUUUUCAAAAAUAAAUUUACAUGUGUGUGUCUCUCUCUCUAUAUAGACAUAAAUACACACAGUUUUCUUAUACAUACAUAUGUAUAUGUGUUUGUAUAUAUUUUUCUAUCUUUAUAUACAAAAGACAGCAUACUGUAUGUGCCUUGUGACCUCUCACUUUUUUUAUGACUACAUUUUGUGGAUGUACUGUAGUUUACUCAAAUAUUCUCCUGUUGAUGAACAUUUGGAUCACGAAGUCUUAUGUUUUUGAAAGAUACUACAGUAAUCAAUAAUGGUGUACAAAUGUGGACUUAUAAAUGUAGGGAGAUAUUUUCUGUGUACACUCCUAGAGCUGAGAUAGCCUAAGUCAAAAGGAAUACGCCUCUGACAUUUUUGGCUAGUGAUUUUAUUCUUACAUUCUUGUGAUAUACUUUACUUAGUUAUGAAUGAUGUAUAAUUAUAUUUUGCUCUGUUGUCAAAUUGUUUGCUAACAUUUUAUUUAGGACUAUUGAGAAAUGUUUGUUAAAGGCUGAAUCCUGUUUUCCCCCUGCCCAAAGUCAUGAGGGACUGUAUUUGGAGAUAGGGAUUUAAAGAACUAAUUAAGAUGAAAUGAGGUCUUGGAGUUUCCAUAGUGGCUCAGCAGAGUCAAAUCUGACGCAUCCAUGAGGACUCAGGUUUGAUCCCUGGCCUCGCUCAGUGGGUUAAG